CAGGCCUGGUCCAAUGGUGGAGGAGCAGGAGGUCUAAAUUUCAUCUGGGCCCAGAAUUUCAGCAAGAUAAAUUGUGAAAAAGUUUUCCUUAGACGUAUCUUGAAAAACAGGAAGGACAAAUACAAAUACAGAUACCUUACAGUGUCCCUCUAAAAUCUCAGAUCAUACUGUUGCUGACCUGGUUACUGAAGGAAAGCAAGCAUCGAGUUCAAUCCAGGAAUUUAAACUGUCGGCAGAGAGCGAGCCUGGAGAGCAAUGAAAUGGGACUGAGGAAGAGGCGGUGGAGCUGACAGAAAGGGCAGUGCGGUCCCUCCUCGCCGGCGUUAACACGUGCAAGCGCAUCCGUGACCCACACACAUGAGGGGGCCUGGGAGGGGCCCACACGUCACGAAAUCCACCAGUUCGCCAAGCUAAAGAGGAGGCGAGAAAUCUUUCUCCACCCAAGACUUUGCUUACUGAGUAAGGGUCACUGGGAAAGGCCUGCAAGGACUCCCAGGCCAGAAAUCACUCAAAAAUUAACACACGAGCACAGGAAAGGACGCUCAAUACCACGAGUCAUUAGGAUAGUGAGGACCAAAACCACAAGAUGCUGCUUCACGCUCACUAGGAGCAGCGGUGAUUACAAAAGGCAAAUGCAAGUGUUGGCGAAGAUGCGGAGGAAUGGGAGCGCUUGUGCCCUGCCUGGGACGGGGGACGCAGAAUGGCGCAGCCACCUCGGGAAGCUGAACGAGCCUCCGAGCCGGCGAGCCCACUCCUCGGUUCAUAUACUGAAGGAGUGAGGACAGGGCCUCACACAGAGGCUCACAGGUCAGGCUUCACCGGGGCGUGUGUACACCGCGUGCCUGCGUGUGAUCUAUACGGACAGCGGAAUGUUGUUCACCCACACAGAGGAAGGGAGUCAGAUUCGUGCGACUAUCGGACCAACCUUGAACGCAUUCUGUGCAGUGCCGUAGGAUUUCACUGACACGCACUGUCUACGCCAGGCAAAUCCAGAGAGACAGAAAGUAAACUGGAGAUUUCCUGGGGCUGGGGAGGAGGAAAUGGGGAAUUUUUGCUGAGUAGGGAGUUUCUGUUUGGGGUGAUGAAAAAGUUUGGGAAUAGGGGUUGGUGACGGUUGCACAACACUGUGAAUGUGAUUCACACCAUGGAACUGUCCAGAUAAAAAUGGCAACUUCCAUGUCACAUAUAUUUUACCACAAUGAAAAAAUUUAAGGAGAAAAAGACUAGCAAAAGGCUGUUUCCUCUAAACUACUUUUCAAUAAAUCUAGGAAGGGCACUUCAUCCUUUCUUCCCUGCCCAAAAUUCCCAAAGUGUUCUGUUGAUUAAAAAUACGUUUUUUUUUUUUUUUUUUUUAGCUUUCCCCCUAUCCCUCCCCAAUCCCACCAAAAUACAAUUGUUACUUUUGUAUUACAUGAAACUUACAAAUAUAAACAAAUCACAUCA